GAUGAACGCUGGCGGCGUGCCUAAUACAUGCAAGUCGAACGAAACUUCUUUAUCACCGAGUGCUUGCACUCACCGAUAAAGAGUUGAGUGGCGAACGGGUGAGUAACACGUGGGCAACCUGCCCAAAAGAGGGGGAUAACACUUGGAAACAGGUGCUAAUACCGCAUAACCAUAGUUACCGCAUGGUAACUAUGUAAAAGGUGGCUAUACUACCGCUUUUGGAUGGGCCCGCGGCGCAUUAGCUAGUUGGUAGGGUAAAGGCUUACCAAGGCAAUGAUGCGUAGCCGAAUUGAGAGGUUGAUCGGCCACAUUGGGACUGAGACACGGCCCAAACUCCUACGGGAGGCAGCAGUAGGAAUCUUCCACAAUGGGCGAAAGCCUGAUGGAGCAACGCCGCGUGGGUGAAGAAGGUCUUCGGAUCGUAAAACCCUGUUGUUAGAGAAGAAAGUGCGUGAGAGUAACUGUUCACGUUUCGACGGUAUCUAACCAGAAAGCCACGGCUAACUACGUG
rnacentral:rRNA from 1 species